rnacentral:rRNA from 1 species
GGGGUUAAAUUAAAAAAUUAAUAAUAAUAAAAAGAAUUAUCAGAGUUUAUUAAUAAAGUAAUUUAUGUAAAUAAAUCUCGAAUUUAAAAGAGUUAAUUAAUUAAAAAAUUUAAUGUGGGAUAAUUAUUUUAAAUAGUUAAUUAGAAAUGAAAUGUUAAUCGUUUUUAAAUAUAUCUAGUUUUUUUAGAAAAAAAUUUAAUUUUAAAUUGAAAUAAUUUUAUAAUUGAUUAAUUAAUUAUAAAAAUUUAAAAUUUAAUAUUUUAGGGGAUAAGCUUUAAAUUAAAAUUUUAUAAUUUAAAAUAAAUAAAAUUAAAAUUUUUAAAAUUUAUAUUGUUUAAAAAUUAAAAUUUUUUAUAAAAUUUUUUAAUUAUAAAUAAAAUUUAAAUAAAAUUUAAUUUUUUAUAAAAAAAUAAUUUUUAAUAAAAUAAAAUUAGGUAUAAUGAUAAAAUUAGUAUAUUAAAUUUAAUAAAUGAUAAUAAUAAUGAAAAUUAAAUUAAAGGAAUUCGGCAAAAUUUUAUAUUCACUUGUUUAUCAAAAACAUGUCUUUUUGAUAAUAAUUUAAAGUCUAAUCUGCCCACUGAUAAAAUUAUUAAAGGGCUGCAGUAUAUUGACUGUACAAAGGUAGCAUAAUCAAUAGUCUUUUAAUUGAAGACUUGUAUGAAAGAUUUGAUGAAAUAUAAACUGUCUCUAAUUUAUAAGUAUAAAAUUUAAUUUUUUAGUUAAAAAGCUAAAAUAAGAUUAAAAGACGAGAAGACCCUAUAGAGUUUUAUAAUUAAUUUAUUUUUUAUUUAAUAUAAAAUUAUUUAUUAAUAAGUAAAUUUAUUGUUUUAUUGGGGUGAUAAAAAAAUUAAAAAAACUUUUUUAAAAUAGAACAUAGAUAAAUGAUAAAAUGAUCCAUUAAUAAUGAUUAUAAGAAAAAAUUACCUUAGGGAUAACAGCGUAAUAUUUUUUUUUAGUACAAAUAAAAAAAAAAGUUUGCGACCUCGAUGUUGGAUUAAGAUAAAAUUUAAAUGCAAAAAUUUAAAAUUUUGAUCUGUUCGAUCAUUAAAAUCUUACAUGAUCUGAGUUCAAACCGGUGUAAGCCAGGUUGGUUUCUAUCUUUAAUAUAUUAUAAUAUUUUAGUACGAAAGGAUCAAAUAUUAAGAAUAAUUUUAAUUGUGAGAAUAUUAGUAACGAUAUAGUAAUAAA